rnacentral:rRNA from 1 species
UACGGAGGAUCCGAGCGUUAUCCGGAUUCAUUGGGUUUAAAGGGUGCGUAGGUUGUUUUAUAAGUUAGCGGUGAAAUACCGAUGCUCAACAUCGGGGCUGCCUCUAAUACUGUUGGACUAGAGAAUAGUUGCGGUAGGCGGAAUGUAUGGUGUAGCGGUGAAAUGCUUAGAGAUCAUACAGAACACCGAUUGCGAAGGCAGCUUACCAAACUAUAUCUGACGUUGAGGCACGAAAGCGUGGGUAGCAAACAGG